rnacentral:rRNA from 1 species
UACGUAGGUGGCAAGCGUUGUCCGGAGUUACUGGGUGUAAAGGGCGUGUAGGCGGGAAAAUAAGUCAGAUGUGAAAUUCCAUGGCUCAACUGUGGCGCUGCAUCUGAAACUAUUUUUCUUGAGUGAUGGAGAGGAAAGCGGAAUUCCUAGUGUAGCGGUGAAAUGCGUAGAUAUUAGGAGGAACACCAGUGGCGAAGGCGGCUUUCUGGACAUUAACUGACGCUGAGGCGCGAAAGCGUGGGGAGCAAACAGG